rnacentral:rRNA from 1 species
AGCGAACGCUGGCGGCAGGCCUAACACAUGCAAGUCGAACGAACCUUUCGGGGUUAGUGGCGGACGGGUGAGUAACACGUGGGAACGUGCCUUUAGGUUCGGAAUAACUCAGGGAAACUUGUGCUAAUACCGAAUGUGCCCUUCGGGGGAAAGAUUUAUCGCCUUUAGAGCGGCCCGCGUCUGAUUAGCUAGUUGGUUGAGGUAAUGGCUCACCAAGGCGACGAUCAGUAGCUGGUCUGAGAGGAUGAUCAGCCACAUUGGGACUGAGACACGGCCCAAACUCCUACGGGAAGCAGCAGUGGGGAAUCUUGCGCAAUGGGCGAAAGCCUGACGCAGCCAUGCCGCGUGAAUGAUGAAGGUCUUAGGAUUGAAAAAUUCUUUCACCGGGGACGAUAAUGACGGUACCCGGAGAAGAAGCCCCGGCUAACUUCGUG